rnacentral:misc_RNA from 1 species
CAUGAUUUGGCAUCUCUCUUUCAUGUAAUCAGUCUAGGAGAUACGAUUAAGUUCUCUUUAUCUCCUUCGAAAUCGAAGGACCGUUUAUCAACCAAUGUGUCUGGCGUACCCCUUGAUGAAAGGAAUUUGAUUAUUAAAGCCCUUAACCUAUACAGGAAGAAAACAGGCACUGACAACUUCUUCUGGAUUCAUCUAGACAAGAAGGUGCCUACUGGGGCAGGGCUUGGUGGUGGAAGCAGUAAUGCAGCAACUGCCCUAUGGGCAGCAAAUCAGUUNCAGUGGCGGUCUUGCCACUGAGAAGGAACUGCUAGAAUGGUCAAGUGAGAUUGGUUCAGAUAUCUCCUUCUUUUUUUCUCGUGGAGCAGCCUAUUGUACUGGUCGGGGUGAAAUUGUUCAAGAUAUUCCUACACCAGUUCCUCUCGACCUUCCAAUGGUUCUCAUAAAGCCCCAGGAGGCUUGUUCAACUGCUGAAGUUUACAAGCG